UCUUCCUUGGUCUAGUGGUCAUGAUUUCCGCUUGUCAAAGACUUGUCUAACGAGCGCGGGAGACCGGGGUUCGAUUCCCCGAGGGAGAG